ACAGAGUUUUAAUUAUUUGUAAAGACUUCAAUUGUUCACUAAUGUCAUGGAUUGGUCCUCACAGUGUGAAGUGCAACUGCCCAGAUCCCCCACAGUAUUAUAAAUAGUCUUCUAAAGCCGGGUUGAUUGAUGUUUGGCAUAAAACUCUAUUCCUCUGAGCACAUAUAUUCCUUCUGUUCACUAUUUUCAUAGAAAAAUACCAGGGCUGAUUUUUUAUUCAAAUCUCCAAUUUAUGCAGGGUUUAAACUACUAAAUACUUAAAGCCGUUUUCAGAUCUUUCCCCCCUUUUCUGUUAGGUAGGUAACUAAAUCUUUGGCUUCAAUGCAAAUAAGAAUUGGAGAUUUAGCAGAUUCCUGUGGGGGAGAGGAAGAGUUUAUUAAUUAUAUUGAGAAUCAAAUAAUAUGCUUCUUUGACACUAAUGUUCCAUCUUUCUCCACCCCAAGUAUCCUAUGGGACAACUUUAAAGCCUUUAUCAGGGUCUAAAUUACUGCAUUUAUGGUUCCUUAGAAGUAGGAAUUUAAUGAAUGGCAUUCUGAGUUGAAGAGAGAAUUUGAAGGUUUAAGCUGCAACGGUGAAGCAAUUUUUUUCAAAGUAUGUGGCAGGGAUUGUAAUAUAAAACAUCAAAAAAAGCACAAUAAAAUACAUUUUCAUGAGUGUUAAUAAAUUUUUAAUACUGAUGAAAUGUAAAUUUUUCCUUCAUGACCCUUAUCUGCAUUUGACAGAGUCCAACAGAAAAUUUUAAGUACCUGUUUAAAGCAAUUUACAAGAUACUGUGGAGAUUCCCAGCAAUAAAGAAUGUACUAUAGUUAAGCUGGAAUCCAACUCCUGAAUUUCUGGAGCCCUGAAGACCACUUAGUCUUACUCACAAGAAUUGAAUGGAAUGUGAAUCUACACUCAGGUGAAGCCAGGGUAUUUUGAACGUCCCUACAAGACUGAAGCACCACUGGGAAAUAAGUAAUAGAGAUGCCAUCAUUGUGGAGGUCAUAAUGCUUGUCCUGAACACGAGGGGUCUCUAGUGAGGCACCAAUUCAGCUCCUCUUCUGUGGAGAGACUACAUGGGUGCUGAAGAAACAAAGACACAACGCAGCUCCUCUCAAAGGAGUUCAGAGCUUAGCAGGGGAGACAGAACCAUGAAUGCAUAGUUACGCAUCAAUGUGCUGCACGAGCACUGAAGCCCAAGCACAAGCGGCCUGAGUCCCAAAAACAUUUGCUGACUGCUGUUCUAUCUAGGAUAUCAUCAGUGUGUAGAUGAUCAGAGUUCAUGUCAGUGUUCCUACAAGCCAAUGAAGGCAUUGCGCAAUUCAGCCUUGCGGUUUUCGUUUCUUUGACUUCGUGAUGUGAGGGAAGCUGGCAUGUUUUCUAAUGUGCUGUUGUGUGGGCUUGGGCUGUUGAUUGCUUUUGGCCUAGGUGCUGUGCAGAGCUCCAAGGUUUGGCUUUG
rnacentral:lncRNA from 1 species